CUCGGGGCAGGGAGGUUCUUCAGCCCAGAUUGCGAGAGGGUGCAGGCCAGGCCAAGGGACCCCACUGGUGCACA
rnacentral:pre_miRNA from 1 species